rnacentral:tRNA from 1 species
GCCUUCAUGGUGUAGUGGUCAGCACACUCGAUGCAUAACUGAGAGGUCAGUGGUUCAACUCCCGGCAAAGGCG